CAUGACCUUUCCAAAUGGGACCUCUUCACCAGCAACUACAAGUUACUGAACACUGGUAUUGAAAACGGAGACAUGCCUGAGCAGAUUGUCAUUCACGCACUACAGUGCACACAUUACGUCAUUCUUUGGAGCUUAGCCAAGGUCUCUGAGGGCACUUCUAAAAAGGAGGACAUGUUGACUCUGAGGAAGCAGAUGA